rnacentral:rRNA from 1 species
AUUGAACGCUGGCGGAAUGCUUUACACAUGCAAGUCGAACGGCAGCAUAGGUGCUUGCACCUGAUGGCGAGUGGCGAACGGGUGAGUAAUACAUCGGAACGUGCCCAGUCGUGGGGGAUAACGUAGCGAAAGUUACGCUAAUACCGCAUACGAUCUACGGAUGAAAGCGGGGGACCGUAAGGCCUCGCGCGAUUGGAGCGGCCGAUGUCAGAUUAGGUAGUUGGUGGGGUAAAGGCCCACCAAGCCAACGAUCUGUAGCUGGUCUGAGAGGACGACCAGCCACACUGGGACUGAGACACGGCCCAGACUCCUACGGGAGGCAGCAGUGGGGAAUUUUGGACAAUGGGCGCAAGCCUGAUCCAGCCAUUCCGCGUGCAGGAUGAAGGCCUUCGGGUUGUAAACUGCUUUUGUACGGAACGAAAAGCUCUGGGUUAAUACCCCGGGGUCAUGACGGUACCGUAAGAAUAAGCACCGGCUAACUACGUGCCAGCAGCCGCCGUAA